rnacentral:misc_RNA from 1 species
AAGACUAUAGACCUGCGGAGUACCUGCGGAAGGAUCAUUACCAAGAGAAAUCUUUCAACACUGAAAGAUCUUUUCCUUUGUGCUGGCUUUGACCGUAUGUAAUUUUGGGACUUUAAAAUGGUUCGCAAGGGCCGGUCCCAAAAACAAUAUAUCAUCCUUAUGAAAUUUUUUCUGAACAAUUAAACAAAUGAUUUUAAUAAUCUGUUUAAAACAACUUUCAACAACGGAUCUCUAGAUCGG